rnacentral:rRNA from 1 species
AUUGAACGCUGGCGGAAUGCUUUACACAUGCAAGUCGAACGGCAGCACGGACUUCGGUCUGGUGGCGAGUGGCGAACGGGUGAGUAAUACAUCGGAACGUGCCCAAUCGUGGGGGAUAACGUAGCGAAAGCUACGCUAAUACCGCAUACGAUCUAAGGAUGAAAGCGGGGGAUCGCAAGAACCAGCGCGAUUGGAGCGGCCGAUGGCAGAUUAGGUAGUUGGUAGGGUAAAGGCCUACCAAGCCGACGAUCUGUAGCUGGCCUGAGAGGAUGAUCAGCCACACUGGGACUGAGACACGGCCCAGACUCCUACGGGAGGCAGCAGUGGGGAAUUUUGGACAAUGGACGCAAGUCUGAUCCAGCCAUUCCGCGUGCAGGAUGAAGGCCCUCGGGUUGUAAACUGCUUUUGUACAGAACGAAAAGGCUCUGGUUAAUACCUAGGGCUCAUGACGGUACUGCAAGAAUAAGCACCGGCUAACUACGUGCCAGCCGCCGCCGUAA